CUACGGGAGGCUGCAGUGGGGAAUAUUGCACAAUGGAGGAAACUCUGAUGCAGCAACGCCGCGUGGAGGAUGACACUUUUCGGAGGGUAAACUCCUUUUAUAUAGGAAGAAGAUGACGGUACUAUAUGAAUAAGCGCCGGCUAACUCCGUGCCAGCAGCCGCGGUAAUACGGAGGGCGCAAGCGUUACUCGGAAUCACUGGGCGUAAAGAGCGUGUAGGCGGAUUAAAAAGUCAGAAGUGAAAUCCUAUAGCUUAACUAUAGAACUGCUUCUGAAACUCUUAAUCUAGAAUAUGGGAGAGGUAGAUGGAAUUUUUGGUGUAGGGGUAAAAUCCGUAGAGAUCAGAAGGAAUACCGAUUGCGAAGGCGAUCUACUAGAACAUUAUUGACGCUGAGACGCGAAAGCGUGGGGAGCAAACAGGAUUAGAUACCCGCGUAGUC
rnacentral:rRNA from 1 species